AUGAAACUCAGUAAAGGCAAUGCCUUGAAACCAGAGACAAAGAGAAUGAGGUUUUUUUUUUUCUUUCUUGCAAAAGCAACCUCAAAUGCAUUUCUCUUUCUGCCAUUUUCUCUUAAAAAUCUACAUAUAGGGUUUUAGUAUUACCAAACCAAGAAAAACAAUUGAGAAGAAUAAAUAAGGAAAGAAUGAAGUUAUAUAAAGUUUUCUUGAAGUUG
rnacentral:lncRNA from 1 species